CAGGUGAUUGAGCAGCUGAUUUUUGUGACAAAAUUGGCGGGAAAUUUUUAAUAACUUUGAGCGCUUGGCAAAUCUAAACUAAACAAUAUUUUUCUAUUAUUUAAAAUGGAUAUUAAAGUUGGAGGAAAUCAAAAAGCUGACAAAAGUGUUCGUCUUCUGUAGAGGAAAAAAAGGUGUUCUGCGUAUUUGUGCGUUGUUUAAUUUUGGUUUGCGGCUUUUUGCGGCUUUUCCGAUGCUUUAAUUAUUUAGAUGUGCUUGAAUUCUGUCACGCCACGUUGCUGGACGUGUGGAUGGACAGCGGGCGCCACUCUUCCGCGCUGGUUGAACUUGUAUUUGGUCAAAUAGAUGAAUGUACACUGAGUGACGACAAAAAAGAGAGCAAUAAAUAAAAAAACAAAAAAAAAAAAAAAAUUUAAAUAAAAUAUCACGUAUACGUCAUGAUGUCUAUAUGGGCAUUGGAGUAGGCGUGGUCAAACUUACUUGAAAGUUUGCUUAAAUAUUUAGAGUGGUCUAUUAAUGAAGUAUGCCAAGUUUCAGCUCGA